GGGUCUAGCAUAAUAAACUUAUGACUUGAAGAAUGAUGAUGACAUAAAAAUCAUGUUCCAAAGAAUAAUGCUGAGGCCC